AUUGAACGCUGGCGGCAGGCUUAACACAUGCAAGUCGAGCGGUAGCACAAGAGAGCUUGCUCUCUGGGUGACGAGCGGCGGACGGGUGAGUAAUGUCAGGGAAACUGCCUGAUGGAGGGGGAUAACUACUGGAAACGGUAGCUAAUACCGCAUAACGUCGAAAGACCAAAGAGGGGGACCUUCGGGCCUCUUGCCAUCAGAUGUGCCCAGAUGGGAUUAGCAAGUAGGUGGGGUAAUGGCUCACCUAGGCGACGAUCCAUAGCUGGUCUGAGAGGAUGACCAGCCACGCUGGAAGUGAGACACAGUGCAGACUCCUGCGGGAGGCAGCAGUGGGGAAUAGUGCACAAGGGGCGCAAGCCUGAUGCAGCCAUGCCGCGUGUGAAGAAGGCCUUCGGGUUGUAAAGCACUUUCAGCGAGGAGGAAGGUGGUGAACUUAAUACGUUCAUCAAUUGACGUUACUCGCAGAAGAAGCACCGGCUAACUCCGUG
rnacentral:rRNA from 1 species